UACGAAGGGGGCGAGCGUUGUUCGGAUUUACUGGGCGUAAAGGGCGCGCAGGCGGCUCAUUUUGUCAGGCGUGAAAGCCCCGGGCUUAACCUGGGAACUGCGUUUGAUACGGAUGGGCUAGAGUUCGGGAGAGGAGAGUGGAAUUCCCAGUGUAGAGGUGAAUGCGCAGAUAUCUGGAGGAACACCGGUGGCGAAGGCGGCAUCCUGGACCGAUACUGACGCUGAGGAGCGAAAGCCAGGGAGCAAACGGG
rnacentral:rRNA from 1 species